AAGGGCAGCAUGUCAAAGCACAGGCUACUUCUAUAUUUGCACUAAAGGAGAUCCAGCUGGAGAGGGAGCCUGGAAUGAGGAUGAGCUCCCUGCCUGAGUCAGUCUCCUCCACUGACACUGAGUGUUUCCAGCCAGCCAGUCAGAUUGAAGCUGCCCCUGAGCAUGUGCUGUGCUAGUCCUAAUCCCACAUCCUCAUUGACUGCAGUGGCUCCUGCCCGGUGGACGGCAAGCCCCGAAGACAGAGCCUGCUCUACUGAGACAGGGGGGAGAACCGUGAAGACAAGGGGAGAACCAGGGAGAGACGCCCUGUUCGUCUUCUGGGGAUACAUCACAUUCACAUCGGAUACUUUCAUUGUUUGUUUUUUUUUUCAAGAAGCGUUGUGGUGCUUUUUGGGGGUGCCCAGACUGACAUGUGGGGUGGUUUCGGUGGGGGCAGUUGGCUCAUCCCAUGUGUCCUUUGAGGUGAGGUUGAGAGAUGUGAAGGGGAGUUUGGGGGACAGACGCCACUCUCCCUCUAAAUGCUCACUUCUUUCCUCACUCUCUCCUGUCUUCCUAUACUCCCCCUGUGUCUCCUGCAGAAAGACUGGGGCUGUCUCUCCAAUUUGACCUGACUCUCCUCCCUGAGCACCUUCUCCCAGGGAUUUUGGAAAGGAGCAGGGGUGUAAUCCCAGUGUCCUGGCCAAAUUUCCCAUUGGCCUUUGCCAACCAUGGCCUCCUAAUAACCCCCAUCUCUGAACUGGCUUCAUCACUCUGUUCUCCCCCCCCCUCCGAGAGCUGGUGUGUGGGGAGCCCACUGGCAGAUUCUCCAUUUGGGGGCUGCACAUUGGUGGCGGUAGUAGGAUUCCUCAUUACCUGUAAAGCGCUUUGAGUGGAGUGUCCAGAAAGGCACUAUAUAAGUGUAAAGAUGUGGGGCCCCCCCAGCAGCUUGUGAAGCAGACAGUAGCCGUCAUGUGUCUGACGUGGUGUGGAACCCCAUCACUGUGGGGCUCAGUCCAGUGGGGUGCCAGGGUCAUGCACUAGUAGUGAACUGCAGGGAACAGAUGCCAGUGGGGUUUUGACACAGUCCUGGGUGUUGCACCUUCAUGACUGUGGGGGCACCUCUGAGGGGAGGCGUGCAGGGUCCACCUGGGACACAGUGCCCCUGAUCUUAUCCACAGCGGAAACAGUGGGAGACUCCCAACAACAUGAUGUGAAGAUCCGAGAAUAUAAUUUUUUAUGUUCUUCUCAUUAGAAGACUUCUGAUGAGGAGUGUUGUACUUUCAUGUCUGGUUGUAUGUUUUAAAGAAAAAAAAAAGUUAAUUUGAUGCCAUUGCAACAGGAUUUUUGUUUCUCUCUUGGCAGUGAUGAUGGCAUUUCUGUUUGAUGUUUUAAAGGAUGGUACUGAGCUCUGGGGGGGGGCUGCUCUGUGAUUAUGGGGGUGUCUGGAGGGGCUUAGCCUUAGGGAGAAUUGAGGGAGGGGGUUUGUCUUUCUCUCAGUGCACAUUGGGGCUCCCCUGCCUCUUUACACACCCCAGACCAUCUCGGUGUAUCAUUGAAACUCCAGUCAAGCCACACUACUGGAGCCCUGCCCUUUUAAAAUGAGCGUCUCUGAGGUGAGGGAGUGUAUGCAGCACCAGUAAGCAGGGAAUGGAGCUGACCUGCACUUGUCAGGAUUCGUUUGGCACUCAAGGCCUCCCCAGGGCACAGACGUUCAGGAUAGUCAGUGGUGUUUCCUGCUGUAUGUUAGCCCUUGCAUUGCUUGUUCAGUGUGUGGAAGACGGGCUGUGUCCGGCUCUGGGCUCUGCCUCAGGCGGGCCUGAAGUGGACAGGGCUCAGCAGUAGCUCAGAUGGUCUGCUCCAUCGUCACGUCAUGCCUGUUGUAUUUGGGCCAGACUGUGGAGUUCCCCGUCUGCCUUCUUUGAAGCAAUAUAACCGUCAAUGGCCAAAGUAAUGUGUCUGUGAAACUGAUCUUUUUUUCAUCCAGAGUUUUCAGACUGGUUCUCAUUUCGUUUUCAUCGCGUGUCCGAGUGUAGAAAUGGGGAGAUCAAUCAGGGAGAUGAGACACUACAAACACUGUAUCACGAGCUGCAGUUGCUCCUGACCUUGCCUGCCAGUGGCCCCUGUGUUGUGCUGUUGUAUCCGAGUAUUGACCUGUGUGGUAUUGUGUGCUGAUGGCUGCAGCACAGGAGAAGGCAGAUGCUGACGUGCUGUAGCCCUUUCGGUUGACUUUUAACCCCUCUCUGUGUCCGGGUGGAAUUCCUGGCUUAUCCUGUGGUGAGAGGUUCGGCAGGGGUACAAGUAAACGUGCACACUGGUGAGCGCAGGUGGGGACAGACAGACUGGACCUCUCCCUCUGGCCCUGCAGGGUGCAGAUACUCCCACAGUCAGCCCUGCUGGUAGAAGCCCUAAAGAGAAUUGCUCAUACUGUGACUCUUUCGAGCCCGCAUGACUUCCUUAUCCACCAUUAGUGUGACUCCUGCAAUCAUCGUUUCGAUUGUUUUUCUCCGAUUCCCUUUUUCAUGCCAGCCGGACCUACAGGUAGUUUAAAAAUCGCCGAUGGGGGGGCAGGUUGUUGAAAAGAUUGAGGAAGAGGGGGGCAGCAGAGUGACCAAGGACACAGCUUGGAAGAGCGAAGGCAGGCAGGCUCCACUGUACGUCUUCCUGAAAGAGGGAGGGGUGAGGGAUGUGCAGCCUCAGCACUGCUGAGCAAAGGACAGAGUGGCUUCUCUUUCUUCCUGAGGGACGGCUUUUCACACGCAGGUGUCUUGGACAUGAGAACAUGAGACAACUCUUUGUGUAAAUGCUGUCCUGAUUAGCAGAUCUCAUCUAGUCGUUUCCUGGAAGAAGCCAGGUUAUCAGGUUCAGCAACAUGGCUGGGCGGCUUGUUCCACACUCCUACAGCCCCCAGAUGUGUGAUGUGUGCCUGUUUGUUUUUUUUUUUCCUCUCUCUUUCAAUGCAGACAAUCCUGAGCUGUGAUGGGUUUGUAGAGUUAGAAUCAGGUCACUGUCCUCCUGGCUGGGUCAGCACCUGUGUCCACUUCUGUUUACAAAAAGAAGAUGACACCGGGAAACUCUGAAGUCUAUUGUGAAGUGUCCCAAUCUUCUUGUGCUGCUGCUGCGUAGGCCGAAGAUGUAAUUGUGUCGGCAGCAGGGGAUCAUGUGCUUCUCCUGUCCGGCGGGAUAUUUCCACAUCUCGUCACUGAGGCCGGAGACGCAGCA